ACCUGGGAUAGCUCAGUCGGUAGAGCAUGAGACUCUUAAUCUCAGGGCUGUGGGUUCGAGCCCCACAUUGGGUA
rnacentral:tRNA from 1 species